rnacentral:rRNA from 1 species
GAUCCUAUUUUCUGCCACCGAAUACAUUAGCAUGGGAGAAUGGAAUAGGACCCUGUGGUAAAUUUUCAGUUGGUUUUGRCMGYRSKMGGACYAGGGWCUUGAGUAAUAGGGAUAGKUGGGGGCMUUAAUAUUUAAUUGUCAGAGGUGAAAUUCUUGGAUUUAUGAAAGAUUAACUCUCCCGAAAGCAUCUGCUAAGGAUGUUUUCAUUMAUCAWWAACGAWAGCCAGGGGCCCGACGACGAUCAGACACCCUCAAAGUCGGAGCCAUAAACGAUGUCCACCAGCCCCUUGGAGACGUUUWCGGCGAAAGACCACCGUCGGCGCGUUCGUCCUUGGCGUUGWUGGUUUCACGGUAGACGAUCUGGGCCCRGUUUAGCCCGGGGGCCCCGGGGAAUGACUCCCCUAGCAGCUKGUGAURU